rnacentral:misc_RNA from 1 species
AAAACAAGAAACAAAAGCUUUGGGAACCCUAUACAUGUCGAAACAGGAUGUCAACGAUUUUAGCCGAGACAUGUAGGUGACCCAGAUAAGAAAAGUUCAAAAUUUAGGAUUUUUCUCACUUUAUAGAAAAUUAAAUGGAUAUUCACUGGUCAAGUGCGAUACUCUGUGGAAUAUAGCUAGUACAUUUGAGAAUAUUCGGCUACGAAAGCUACUAAUUGGAAUAAAGCAUGCCAGGCGGGGGAGCUGUGUUAGCGGCAGUGGCCGGCGGUCUAGGAACGGGGGCCUUUGUUUGGAGGGGACCCUACCCCACCCUAAUGGACGACAUCAAGACGAUCUACACCACCAGAAAACCGCAGGCCGUCACCGCCAGGGAUGUGGCGUCUUUGCGCUUUGUAAUCGACAUGUUCGAGAAGACUUCACAGUGUUUGUUUCUGGAACGACGAGAAAAUCUCUUCCGGAUCGAAUAAUGUCUUUUGACUUUCUGAUGACACGGUCACUUCCUGUACCCGUAUGUAAAGUAGCACGUGAGAAGGUGACCUUGCUGAGUCCGCUUUGUUACAUCUAUACAUCCGGAACGACAGGUUUACCCAAACCAGCAAUAAUAAGCCAAGGCAAAGGGAUCAGACAAACACACGGCUACCGCGCAAUCGACUUCAGUCACCAGGAUGUGACGUAUGUCGUGACGCCAUUGUAUCACAGCGCCGCCACAUGUGUCGGUGUUUUCAACACUAUAGGAGAGGGUAGUAUCUACGUCAUAUCUAUAUAUCCUUAAGUUUUGUGUUUGGAUUAUUGGUUUUUACUGCAAAACAUUUUGAAAUACCAGUAUUAUUUGUGUGAUUCCUUUUUGAAAAGGUGCUACCAUCGUGUUGCGCCGGAAGUUUUCAGCGAGUCACUACUGGGAGGACGUCCGGAAGUACAAAGUGACCGUCAUUCAGUACAUAGGGGAACUCUGUCGCUACUUACUGCGUGUACCGAAGCAUCCGCUAGAUGGCGUCCAUUCUAUAAGAGCGGCCUUUGGUAACGGACUUCGGAGUGAUAUAUGGGACGAGUUCAAGACGAGAUUUAGAAUCCCCCAGAUCUACGAGUUUUUCGGAGCCACGGAAGGAACAGCGCUCUUAAUGAACUGCUGCAACAAAGUCGGCGCCAUUGGCCGAUGGUCCCCCAUCAUCAGGUGGGUAAAUGGGGGAAAGAGUGGAUUCCAUAUUGUGAAGUUUGAUCCGGUGACGGAACAACCAAUCCGGGACAAAGAAGGAAAAUGCAUUCCGAUACAGCCAGGUGAAAGCGGUCUGCUUUUGGCCGUGAAACCACCAAACACCGUGACAUUCUACUUGGGACCAAAGGCGAUGAACGAGAAGAAGCUAAUGAAAAAUGUCCUUCAACUGGGCGACGAAUUUUUCAACUUCGGCGACUUGGUGUAUCUUGAUCACGACUAUUACGUUUAUUUCCGGGACAGAAUUGGGGACACCUUCAGAUGGAAAGGCGAAAAUGUAUCAACAACAGAGGUAGCCAAUGUGAUGACGCAACUUAAUUUUAUUCAUGACGUCAAUGUUUAUGGGGUAUCUAUAUCUGGGAGUGAUGGUAGGGCAGGGAUGGCCGCCGUACAGUUGGAGGAGGGCUAUGAAUUGACAAGCAGUAUUCUAUCAGAGCUGUACAGUCACGUGGUCGGGCACCUGCCGCACUACGCCCGGCCUGUGUUUAUCCGAGUGGUCCAGGAGUUCACCACCACCCAGACCAUGAAACACCAGAAGUUGAGGCUGGUGGAGGAAGGGUUUGAUGUGGAGGCUGUCAGGGACCCGCUCUUUGUUAUCAACAACCAAUCAAAGACAUAUGAGGCUCUCACGGCUUCAAAUAUCGGCACCAUACUUACUGCAAGACUCUAGGCCUUAAAAAUCACUCAUCAAAAUUUUAUGUCAUAUAAUUCUUAAUGUAGGACAUUGUACAUGUAUAUAGUUGGCAUGUUAAUAUUGAAAAUAACUAAACAUUUUACAUGUAUAUAGUUGGCAUGUUAAUAUUGAAAAUAACUAAACAUUAUAAAACAUAAUUUACCAAUACACGUGAUCAAAAAG